CGGCCGCACUAGUAUUAGUUGAUCCUGCUCAGACGAACGCUGCGGCGUCUUUACACAUCAAGUGACGAUACGACCGAGCUUGCUCGGUCUGAUUAGUGCGAACGGGUGAGUAACACGUGAGUAACCUGCCCCCCACUUCGGGAUAACUUCGAGAAAUCGUGGCUGAUACCGGAUAUGAACUUCCGCCGCAUGGUGGUUGUUGGAAAGUUUUUCGGUGGGGGAUGGACUCGCGGCCUAUCAGUUUGUUGGUGAGGUAAUGGCUCACCAAGGCGAUGACGGGUAGCCGGCCUGAGAGGGCGACCGGCCACACUGGGACUGAGACACGGCCCAGACUCCUACGGGAGGCAGCAGUGGGGAAUAUUGCACAAUGGGGGAGACCCUGAUGCAGCGACGCCGCGUG
rnacentral:rRNA from 1 species